GAUGAACGCUGGCGGCGUGCCUAAUACAUGCAAGUCGAGCGAACAGACGAGGAGCUUGCUCCUCUGACGUUAGCGGCGGACGGGUGAGUAACACGUGGAUAACCUACCUAUAAGACUGGGAUAACUUCGGGAAACCGGAGCUAAUACCGGAUAAUAUAUUGAACCGCAUGGUUCAAUAGUGAAAGACGGUUUUGCUGUCACUUAUAGAUGGAUCCGCGCCGCAUUAGCUAGUUGGUAAGGUAACGGCUUACCAAGGCAACGAUGCGUAGCCGACCUGAGAGGGUGAUCGGCCACACUGGAACUGAGACACGGUACAGACUCCUACGGGAGGCAGCAGUGGGGAAUCUUCCGCAAUGGGCGAAAGCUUGACGGAGCAACGCCGCGUGAGUGAUGAAGGUCUUCGGAUCGUAAAACUCUGUUAUUAGGGAAGAACAAAUGUGUAAGUAACUAUGCACGUCUUGACGGUACCUAAUCAGAAAGCCACGGCUAACUACGUG
rnacentral:rRNA from 1 species